ACGAAAUCACACAAAACAAUCAAUCAAACAAACAAACAAAACAAAUCCAAAAUUAUAGUGUCCAGUUCGACUAUGACAAUCCCGAAAUAGAAAAAUGCGAAAAUAUAAACCUACUCUAUUCUAUGCUCAUUCUAAACUACACUUCAUUGCUUUCUCCACCUGACGUUUCGGGCCUUGAUCGUGCGUCGUCUUCAAUUACAUAGUACUUCGGGACAUUCCUUGGAUAAAUCAAUACAAAUCCCUCGGGGCAUUCCACGGCCAAAUAAAUACAAUAGAUCCCAAUGCAUAAAUCAAAACCGUUCCACACACAUUUCAUCAUUCAACAAUCACAAAUCCUAAACUUUGCCUACCCAACAUAUGUUUUCCUAUCACUUACGACUUAUCAUGCUAUUACUAAAUUAAACCAAAAUUAACCUAAAUUCACUAUUUUAUCAAUUUCUCAAUUCUGCCCCAACUUUCCUUUUAACACUAAAUUUCCAUAAUUCAUGAUUUCUAUUUCAACGAUCCACAACUACUCUUCAAUGAAAUUAAGUAACAAGUUAAUAUCAAAGUAGCAAUUCAUCACCAAUCAAGAUCAAACAACACACGAUAUUCCAUCUAAUGCACCAUAUUUCAUCAAUAAUGAAAUAAAAAAAGGAAAAGGGUGGAAAUGGACCUCAAUGAUGAUUUUAUUCUAAUUAUUAGUCAAUCGAGAAGAUGAAUCCGCGUGACGAAGAAUCCCGGUUCAGAAAACCUCAAUGACGAGCUCGAAUCCAACUCAAUAUCAGAAAUUGAAGCCCGAAGCUGAAUAAGAAUGACCGAUUCAAAAUCCAAAAUCCAACUCGUAUCGAACCCAGUUUCUGAAUCUAAAUUCCCAAUUAAUUUUGAGUCUGAAACAGUGUUAACUCUGAUGAGGAGGUGCCAUUUUCCAAUGGGUUUGGUGAUGAAAGGGAGCUGGGUCACUGCUAGCACUUUGUCGUAGCUCCGAUGAGCUCGGCGCAAGAGGAACUCAAAGGAUACAGAUAAAUUUUUGGCCCCGUUGACCCUUUUCUCUCCCUUUCUCCCCGUUUCUCUCCCUUUUUUCUAUCUCUCUGUCAGUUUCUCUCUUUUCUCGAUGCUCUAUCUCUCUCGACCUCUCUUACUGUGUGUUUUUAGAGAUGGAUAUGCGCGUGUAUAUCAGUGAGGAUGUGUGUGCGAUUUGAGCUUAAGAAGAAAGAAAAAUAAGCCAGGCAAAAUGGAGUCUGUGCUUUCUUUUUUUUUUUGUAUCCACCUGGUGUGUGUUGUGAUUUGUGCAUAUGGUGAGGAUUAGUGUGUGUGCCUAUUGUGAGGGAGUCUUGUGUUACUGUAUAUGUUUGUCCUCAAUGGAGAAGAAAAAUGGAAUAUUUCCCCUGUGGGCCCUCGUAUGUGUUAUCUGUCUGUGUUGAUGGUUUUGUGUAUGUGAGGUGUGUACAAUUUUAUGUCCAGUGAAGAUACUCCCUCCAUUGAACCAAUAAGAGAAUGGAAUAUAUUGGGAAAAAUGGAGUGGGACCCUUAUGUACAGAAUCAUGGAUGUCGCUAUUAUUUCCCUAUGGUCCCCUCUUUAUUUAUGUUUUGCAAUUUAUGGAAUACAGUGGAAACUGCGAGGUGAGUGUGUCCAUAUUUUCAAAUGGAAUAUGUUAUGGAAAGAAAAUAUGAUGAAAAGGUGAGUGUGGUGAGGGGUGACGUGGGUAGUGAGGUGGUGUAGGGGUAGUUAGGUUGUUAAUUUGUUAGGGAGUUUGUUAUUUUUGUAUUUUUGUAGGGUAUAAUCACAUGGGUGGGGGAGCAUUGUAAGGUACGCUAAAAAUGGAUAAAAUUGGACUUUGGGAGGGACAAAAUUAGGUGUCUACAACAUGCCUCCUUUGAAUGUAAACAUGAAGUGUUUUUAGACAAAGAAUUAGACAACAACCAAAUUUUGACCCGACCAUUAUUCAAAGAAAGAAAUAGAAGGAAGAAGGGCAACUGGAUCUUGACUUAGGACAUCAUACUCAUCCCUAGUUAUGAGGAAAAACUACUCACAGAUAUCUCUAAGGGAAGAAAAGGGACUAUACCGAGUUGGAGGGUCGAGUGAGGUUCCAUCAAGGUUCCGAUCCACAGCUCUGUCAUUAAAUCAAAAAUGAAAAUAACAAGUUAAAACAUAAAUGAAAUUACAAAAAUUUUAUCUAUGUAGCUUCUUUUGAACUUCUUGAUAUGAGCUUCAUCACCCUAUUCUUCAGGCGGGCUCCUGACUUGCAAUUUCUUCAACUUGUUUCUUGGCUUUCAAUUGUUUCACCUUGUUGCUUGACUUUCAAUUCCUUCACUUUGUUGCUUUGACUUUCAAUUUCUUCACUUUGUUGCUUUGACUUUCCAUUUAUCCGCCCUUGUUCUUUAGGCGGGCUUCUGACUUGUAAUUUCAUCACCCUGUUCUUCAAGCGGGAUCCUAACUUUCAAUUUCAUCACCCUGUUCUGUAGGUGAGCUCCCAACUUUCAAUUUCAUCACCCUGUUCUUCAGGUGGGCUCCUGACUUGUUAUUUCAUCACCCUGUUCUUCAGGCGGGCUGCUGAAAUCAAAAUCAAAACUAAAACAAAAAUUAUCCCAAAUCAAGAUUAUGAUAAAGAGAGAUUUUAUUUUUUUCUGACAGCAAAGUCCCAUUUUUCAGGAGGAUCCUAGACAGCAAGUAAAUUCUCAUUUUCCAGGGGGGACCUGAACAGAAAGAAAAUUCCCAUUUUCUAGGAGGGUCCUAAACAGAAAGUAAAUUUCCAUUUUCCAAAAGGAUCCUAAAUAGAAAGUAAAUUCCAAUUUUUCAGGAGGGUCCUGAACAGAAAGUAAAAUUCCAUUUUCUAGGAGGGUCCUGAACAGAAAGUAAAAUUCUAUUUUUCAGGGGGGUCCUGAACAGAAAGUAAAAUCCCAUUUUUCAGGAGGAUCCUGAACAGAAAGUAAAAUCUCAUUUUCCAGGAAGGUCCUGAACAAAAAGCAAAAUCUCAUUUUUUAGGAGGAUCCUGAACCAAAAGUAAAAUCCCAUUUUCCAGAAAGGUCCUGAGCAUAAAGUAAAAUCUCAUUUUUCAGGAGGGACCCGAGCAAAAAGUAAAAUCUUAUUUUCCAUGAGGGUCCUGAACAAAAAGUAAAAUCCCAUUUUCCAGGAAGGUCCAGAACAGAAGGUAAAUUCCUAUUUUUUAGAAGGGUCCUGAGCAUAAGGUAAAAUCCCAUUUUCCAGCAGGCUCCUGACCAGAAAGUAAAAUCCCAUUUUUCAAGAGUGUCCUGAACAGAAAGUAAAAUCCCAUUUUCCAGGAGGGUCCUGAACAGAAAGUGAAAUCCCAUUUUUCAGGAGGGUCCUAAACAGAAAGUAAAAUCCCAUUUUCCAGGAGGGUCCUGAACAGAAAGUAAAAUCCUAUUUUCCAGGAGGUCCUGAAUAGAAGGUAAAUUCCCAUUUUUCAUGAGGGUCUUGAGCAGAAGGUAAAAUCUCAUUUUCCAGGAAGGUCCUGAGCAGAAGGUAAAAUCCCGUUUUCCAGGAGGGUCCUAAACAGAAAGUAAAAUCCCAUUUACCAGGAGGGUCCUGAACAGAAAGUAAAAUCCCAUUUUCUAGGAGGGUCCUGAACAGAAAGUAAAAUCCCAUUUUCCAGAAGGGUCGUGAACAGAAAGUAAAAUUCAUGGACGUGUAUUUCUAAUGGUAGGUGAAUUAAGUGAAGCAAAUUUGCCCCUCUUUCAACAAAGAAUAUUUGUCAGUUAAAAACUUAGUGGUGGUUUGCAGUACUUGGCUGUCAUGACCCAACCCGAGGCCCUGGCAGCGACGGGCAUCCCGAACUACACAGGCCUGAGAGACCCCUGUCUCCGAACCCACUAGUGAUAUUGUUCUCUUUGUGCCCAGGCCCGCACGACUUUAAAAUGCAUCACUAGGGAGUAAGGCUUUAUCACUUAUAUACCCAGCAUCCCUCUUGUGUUUUGCCGAUGUAGGACUCCUUCCUAAGUUGGGGUGUCACAUACGCCCCCUGUAUGGACUCAGUUUCCUCGCUGAGGUUUGCCCCACCGAAUGGGAUUUGCCUACACUCAGGACUGAGGUUUGCCUCACCUUACCGGGAUUUUCCUACACUCAGUUUGAACUCUAGGCCACAUCGAUAGGGACCACAUAGGAGAGGCUCUGAUACCAUUUUUUCAUGACCUGACUCGAGGCCCUAGCCGCGAUGGGAAUCUUGAACCAUACAGGACCGACAGACCCCUAUCUCUGAACCCAAUGUAACACCCCAUACUUUUGGGCUAGAAUCAAGACCGUCGUCCUUAUACGUAUAGACCCGAACUAGAUGAUUCCUUGUUAAUAUAUGUGUGGUUAUCAAUCCUAUAGUGUAAGAAUACCUUUUAAUAUGAAUUUAGUUUACAAAAAUCCCCUAACUCUAAGACGAGUUGAAAACAUUUCUACCGAAUAAGUUUUAGUGGAUGUUUAAACUUGGGUCAACUUCCAUUGACCAUAACUCCUAGUAAAUGAUAAACUAGAGGGCCUAUUAUAUAUCAAAUAGAAGGUUUUCGAAUAAUCUUUCUAACGAUAUCAAUUUUGCCUAAAUCUGAUACCAAAGCAAAAUGUCAUGGCUAUUUUGGUGACUGAGACAGUAGCAUCAUACGAUAAGCGUGCGACGCACGCCCUAUCGCACGUUCAAAAUUUUUAGGUUCUAUUUUUGCAUUUGUAAUGAAAAAUGGGUAUCUUCCAUCCCUUGUCCAGCUAUAACAUGGGAUUAAACUCCCAAAACACCAACAUAUGAUUCUAUUCACCAAAAUUACCCAAGAACACUCUGUAGGGUUUCCAACUAAAAACACAAAUAUCUCAAGAAUUAACUGUGGGUUUUCCUUAAUUUUUCAAAAUUUGGAAUCCCCAUUGCGAGGGCUAUAAGAGGCACCCAUCAAUCAUACGUAUAGUAUCCCAAAAUCUAGAGUUCAUUCAAAAGCUUUCAAUUUAAGGUACAUGGAGUUUAUCCUAAAAACUACAUGGGCUUGUAAACUCUAGAACAUGAUUUAAAGAUUAUCAAGAAUGAAUUUUAAAGGGGUUUUAGAACUUAUGCUUUAAAUUCUGCAUUAUGGAUGUUUUGAUAAUGAUAUUGUUUUGGCCUUUAUGCCUUCUCCUUAAAUUGAGUUACACCUAUAUGUAUAUGUAUGAUAUUGAAGAUUUGAUUGAGAGAACUGUUAUUGAAAUCCCUCUCUUUGAUGAUUUAAAGUUUAUGAACUUGUUGGGAAUGAUUUGAGAUGCAUGCGUAAUGUUUUGAAAGUGAUCUUUUCAAUAUUCAAGAAUUUAAUAUGAUUUUGAUCAUAAUGGGAGGGAGCCUUUUUAAUAUGAUUUCAUUUUUGCGUUAAAGAGAAAGAAUUUGCAUAUGAUUAUUGUUUUUGGCAUGACCACCUAGUAUAUUUGAAAUGUUGAAAGAAGAGAGUUUCUUGCAUAUGAUUACAUGAAUUAAAAGAAUGAGUUCUUUGAAAUGAUUUGCUGAUAUGGUGGUUCUAAACAUAUGUUUUGAGAACAGAGAUUUUUAUAUGCUAAAAUGGCUCAGAGAUGUAACUUGCAAGUCAGUGGUAUGACGAUACCACAAGUAUGUAUGCCAUAACAGAGUAUGUUUUCAGAGUAUGAUUUCAUAUGUUGUUCUCAAACAAUGCAUGUUUUGAAAGAGUUAAAAAUAAGCUUAAAGAGGGUUAGGUGGUUGCCCGAAGAAGGCAUGAGCUCAAGUAACUCAUAGUCAGAAAUCAGGUUUUGCCGAUAUGGGUACAUUAUUUCCCCACGAGGGAUUUUUACGCUGGCCUAGUGCCCUGUGGCGUACAGAGCAGAGACUUCGACCCUUGCGGCAAACUUAGAUUGGGGGCUUAGCUGCCGAGUUAAUGGCAGAUCCUAUAUAGUCCAUGGGAUAACAAAGUUGUAGGGUAUACCACCUAGCGCAAAAGUAAUACAAAGAGUGUCACAGAUUUCAGAUAUUUUCACAGAGUCUUUUAAAAUGACCAUGUGAUUUCUUACUAUAUGAUAUGCUUAUGAACUAUUUAAAUUACUCUCAUACAUGUUGAAAUAAAUGAUUAUUUUGGAUUUGCUCUGCGUACCAGUACAUCUCUAUUGACCCCCCUCCCCCAUAUCUCUCAGGUUUUGAGGUUCAGUCUAGGGGUUCAGAUAAGCAAUAGAUAAUUCAGACAACAGAACAGAUUGCGCAGUGGUGAGCCUUCUCUAUUCCAGAAGGCCUUUUUUCUUUCAGAUUUUGUUAUUUCUUUGUUUUGGCCUACUGGGGGCCUUGUCCCAGAUUUUUCAGACAGUAUUAUUUUGAGAUAUAGUAAAGAUUUUGCAGACUGAGUCAAAUGUUGUUUAGAUAUUGCUGGAGUUUUCCUUCAUUGUUAAACUAAUUUCAGAGGAUGACCAUGUUUCCUUAUUCGAUUUAUAAUUCCGUAUUUUUCUUUUAUUGUAUGAAUGUUGUCCAUGAUUACCAGAUAGAGUAGGACGUCUGGGCCUUCAUGGAUCGGAUGUCCAUCAUGGCCAGUCCCUUGUUCGAAUCGUGACAUUGGCUUUCCUGACACCUAUUCCAAUAUUCAUUCCCUUCAUUUUGUUUCAUAUUGCUGGCACUUUCCCCUGCUUUAUCGUGUUAUUGACCCAAACUCAGAUUAUUAAGUGUGACUCUAAAAUAAACACAUUAUCUUUGCUUUGCCAUGCUUCUCAAAUAAACCCUUUAAACUUUGAUAUUUUCAUGAGUUCCCAGAUUUGCCUGUUGACAAAGUUUUUUGCAUGUCCUUUUUUUUUUGCUCACAAUCAUAUCUCUUUUAUGUGCUGGCCUUUCUGUCUUGCUUUGUGCAAUUGAAGAAGUUGGUAGCCAAUUUUGAAAUCUUUUCUCACUUAUUUUGACAUGGACUUGACUCAAAGACAAUAGAAAAAUGACAACAAUUAGAAAAAUGAUAAUAAUUUUUGUUUUAUUUGGAUAACUGACUCAAGAAAAUAAAAAUAUAACUAAAGAGAAAAAAAAUGACAAUGAAUAUCCCCAUUGAAAAAUAUGAAAGAAAAGUUUAUCUGAAAAUGAUAGUCAACUCUAAUGAUUAUGACAUGCAUAUCGAAUUAAACUGCCUGAUCUUUUCAUCCAAAACUCUCACAAAUUGUUGUUGAGAUAAUGACCCUGAAACUGAGUUGCUUCCUUAGGCCAAUUGCAUUUAAGACCUCAUUCGGCUAGUGGCACCUUGAAGGUUUUUUCGCCAACAAGUUUCUUUCAUUUUCUUUUCCUCAGCUCACUAUUGUCUUAUGGUGUCUGUCAGGGUCUUUCACCUAUGAGACUCUUAUUUUCAUUUCUCUCAACUCACCGUUGUCUUAUAGUGCUCGUGAGGGUUUUCACCAAUAAAACUUUCUCAUUUUUAUUUCUCUCUUGAUUCCCUACGCUGAGGAAGACUGACAGUUCCCAAAAUGCAUUAUCAUAUGCAUUGCAUGCUUAGCCUUAACAUUCUCAAAGAUUGAUCUGAAGGUCUUUCUUUGGUUGUAGCUUGGCUUUUGAAUAAGGUUAGAAACAAAGGAUGACAUGAGGCCCAAAUGACACUUGAAGUGGGGUAGGACUUACAACUUUUGGAAUCGACUCAAACAAUGAGGAUUAACUCAUGCCCCAGCUUUUUUUGGCUGGGUGACUCUAAAUUGUUUAUUUGGUUGGACCGAUCCCCGGGUAGGGAAGCCUACGUAUCUGGCCCCCAAAAGAGGAGAAUUAGGUCACGCAUAGUUCUGGUGGCUUGUUUUGCAUGAUUUAGACUUUUGAUUCUUUUUCUUUUAUUGACACUCUUUUCUCUUUGGAUUUUUCUGAUUCUAUUUGUCUUGACAUUUUUCUUUUUCUUCUUUUUGGACAUAUUUUCUUUUUCUUUUCUUUUUUUUCAAUUUUUUUGACUCUAUUAUUUUUCUCGACACUUUUCUUUUGAGCUUUGCUGACUCUAUCUUGAUUCCAAAAGAGGGGUAUGAAAGAAAAUAGGACUAAAGCCUAAAUGGGGUAAACAAAGGAUGACACGAUGUUUGGAUAGCAGAAUGAAAUACCUUCAUCAUAUCAAUCCUUGAAAAUGCAAGUACAUAUCGUGCAAUAUGAAAGUAAGAGAUGAAGAUAAUUUGUGACAUUUUUUAAGCAUUAUCUUUAACUGAGUCUGUGCGUCACUACUCUUGUACUUUGUUCAACAUAUCACUCCAUUUUUGUUGUACACUCCUCACAUCGAAUGACUCAUGCUUUUGUGGAGUUGAUUUUUUUGUUCCUUGGGAUCACACAUCCGUUAUUUGACCUAAUUGAGCAAUUUUUUUCAAUUGAUGACUAAGUUAUUCUUGUGAUUCUCAAAAAUAAUUGCCUUAAUUUUCAAAGAAGGCUUGAAUUUGUCACCAAAUGUCUCAGCACUCUACCUAUUUUCUCAGAUGCUCUCUUUUUCUAGCUUUAACCCUCUGUUUCAAUGUUCAUGCUUAAACUGGAACAUAAGAUCUGGCCAAAAAUUCCGCUAGUAUGUCAUAUCACUAGAAUCAACAUAAAAUAUACUAUGUAAAGAAAACAAACAAACAACACAUAUUUAAAACACAAACGAAAAAGGGACACUUCAUUUAAUUAAAAUAAAAGAUAGAAGGGUUUGAACAUAACGAUAAAUGGACAAAACAAGAUAGAUCCCGAACUACAACCCUGAAAUAAUUCGGAUAACAAAAAAUAAAACAAAACAAACUACCAGACCUUUUUCCUAGUCGGGGGAGGGGUGACUUCUCAAUUGCUCAGCCUAACAUCUUAGCCACUGGUUUGCAUAUCAGCAUGACUAGAGUUUUCCUCACUGUCAUUGUUCUAAACCAUAAUCAAUUUGUCUUGAAUCAUCUUUUCAAUUUAUCUUUUCAAAGCACGACAAUCUUUAAUACUGUGACCCUGAACAUCAGAAUGAUAUGCACAUCAUACAUUAGGAUCAAAACUUCUUGAAUGUGGGUCAGGAGUAUACCCAAGGAGAGGAGUGAUCAUGUCUCCCUAUGCCAAUCUCUAAAAUAAACUGGCAUAUGACUCUCCAAUUGUUGUGAAAUUAACCCUCAAUUUCUUCCUCAUUUCAUUAUUUAACUUGGAUCAAACAUCGGGCCUAGAAGGGCUUUGGGAUGUUUGUGAAAUUGGAGGAUGACUUUAAGGAGUUGGUGCGCGCCAUUGUGGGUAAGGAGGGAGUUGAACAUAUGGUUGUGAGCAAUAUACUAGAUAUGGAGAUGGGGAAACAGAGUAUAAUGGAUUUUGGGAGUGAUUAUGGAGAGCUUGGGUAUGAACUUGGGCUUGAGACUGGCGGCAAUGAUGACGUCAUCUUCUUGGUUAUGCCCGUUCUCCAACUACAAUAGCAGUGUCAUAUUUCUUAUUCUUCUACCCUCCAGGUUCCCUUAAUUAAUUGAAAUAUUGUCCCAAAUGUUUCACGGAUUCCUCAUGCCCAUCUUGCUCCUCAAAUUUCGAUAUCUCAAAGAUUGGAGGAAGGUUAGCACUUAAAGGCAUGCCCCAGUCUUUGUAUGAAACAUCUUCUUUACCCGCGGGUCCUAGAGAAUUUUUCAUAGCAUUUUCUGCACUCUUUAUUUUUCCAACCAUUUUCUCCGACUCUUCUAGCACACUGGACUUCUUGUUAAAAAAUUUUGGUGGUCCAGUUAACGUAAAAAUAGGCUCAGGAGUAUAACAAUGAUCACAAAAAGUAUUGAAUAUAGGUUCGCUAGCGGCAUGGGGACGCACAAUCGUUAGGCGAUCCAGUGUGGAAUCCCAGUAGAGGAUUGAGCAACAAGAUCACAGACGACAUGUGGUGUUAUGAAUGUAGCAGGAUUAUGCUGAGGAGCUAGAGCAAAAGUGGUGGAAGUAAUGAGAUGCUUUUGGCUUGGAAUGAAUUCUGAGUCUUGUUGCAGUACAUCAACAACUGUAGAAAACUAACUUUGAGAUUUUGGGGGAAAACUCGAGGUAUUUGUAGGAUCAAUAAAGGGAAUUGGAGGAGGAGGCAACCCACUGGCCCAAGCUCAAUGCAUUUUUGUCAUUUGUUGUCUUGGCCUCCUAAUCUGUGGCUUCAAACUCUCAAUUUCCUGAUUCUUUAUUUGAUCCACGAUGUCACUAUCUAUAUCUUUGUUGGACACAACUAAUCCUUUAGAUUUGGUGUGAUGUGAAGGACCAGCCAAAAUGCCACAAACCAACCACCUUAAACUAACUCAACAAAAAACAACAAAUAUGUUAGAGUUCAACACUUUUUCAAAACCUCUUUUUUCUUCUUUUUUUUUUUAAAGAUCACCGAACCCAAGAAGGACGCCUACGUAUCUCACUCCCGAGAGAGGAUAAUCAGGUGUGCGUAGUUCGUGAAGUCUUGUCACAAUGGCCAAUUAAACUCUUUUUUCUUUUUUUUUCUUUACUUGAAACUUUAAAAAGAAAAUAAAAUAACAAAUUUUCAAAAGAAUUGACGAAAAUCUUUUUGAAUUUUUCAGCUUUAACAUUCCUAUACAAAAUGACAUCUAUGAUUAGGGGUGGACGUUCGGUCAGUUCGGUCUGAUCGUUUAAUAUCGGUUCGAUUUAUUAGUUUUCGGAUUGACAAAAAUGACAACCAUAACCAAACCGAAAUAAAAUCGGUUUGGUUCGAUUUCUACAAAUUCGGUUUGGUUUUUUUUUAUUUUUAUUUUGGUUUGAAAUAUUAAAGUAGAGAGCCUCUCUUUUUCAUAAUUGAACAUUUAAAAAUUGAUGAUUUUUUUAAGAAAAAUGAUUUUUUUCAAAUCUAUUCUUCAUUCUGAAAUAUAAAUAACUAUAAGUAACUCAAUGAAAUGAAAUAAUGUCAUCAAGUUCUUUAUGGUAACAAGCAAUAUCAUCGUUGGGACUAACAUAUGGAGUUUCUUGAGUGAUGCAGUACUCGUUUCUAUUCCAAAUGUAAAAUAAAGAAAAUGCAAUAAACUACCAUGUUAAGCAGAAAAUGCCAUAAACUCACCUGAAUGCUCCUCUUUAGACACAAACACGAAACACCAAAUUUGUGGGUUGCGGGUUGCGGUUGUGGGUCGCCGGUCACGGUGUCAUUGUAAAGAAAGGGAGUAGAUCACCGGUCUUUCGUCUAUUUUGCCGAAUUGCCGGUGGUGUAAAUCGAAAACGGCGCUUUGGAUUUACUAUUUACUGUUCGUGAGUAUUGAGCCUUGAGUGUGAAUGGUAAUAUGUUUACUAUUUAGGGAUUUAGGCGCCUUGGAGUUGGAAUUAGGGUUACUAAAAUGUAUAUAUAAUUAAUAUAAUAUAUUGAUAAUAUAUAUUAUUUUAUAUAUAUAUAUAUAAUAAAUUGAUAAUAUACGUAUAUAUUAUAAUAUUAUUUAUAUAAUUUCAAUUUUAAAUUUUUCGGUUUAACCAAAAUAUUUUUUAAGAAAACUGAAAACUGAACCGUUUAACUGAAAUUUAAAAAUUGAAAAUCGAAAUCAAUCCGAAAAAAUGAAAAAUCAAAAUCAAAAUUAAAUUUCGGUUCGAUUUUUCAGUUUUUUUGGUUUUUUGGUAUUUAUCCCCACCACUAUCUAUGAUUACCAAAGAGAAAUCUUUUAGGGUCUUCAAUGUUGAAUUUCAUACGAAAAUAAAACUUGAAACAAUUAAAGGAAAAUCUUUUUGCAAUUUUCUUUUAAGGAAACAUAUGACAUCUACUCUAAUAAAGAGUGAAGAAAAAUCUUUUUGAAGUUUUUAAAUAAGAUUUUCGAACCAACAAUAGGCUGCCAACAUAUCUCACAUCCCAAAAGUGGAGAAUCAGGGGUGUGUAGUUCGUCUAGAUUGGAUAAUUAAGGAUUAACUAACCGAUUGACUCUAACUUAAGAGACAUGACCAAAGGCAAAUGAUGAACAAUACCGAUAAAAUCUUUUUGGAUUUUUUGAUUUGACACCUCACAUAAAAUCGACACCAACAACUGUGGAAAGAAAAUCUUUUUGAUGUUCUUUUAUUUUUUGACAAAUGAGUGCAAAAGAUAAAAAAUCUUUUUUUUGAAUUUUCUUCUUUUGAGAAGAUAAAUGCAAAAGGUAAAAAAAAAAUCUUUUUUUGGAAUUUUUGGGUUGUGAAGAACAAAAGUCAUAAAGAACUCUAAAAAUGAACUACGAAACUCUUUUUUGACUCACUUUUCUUUUUUCUUUUUUUUUCUUCAUUGCCUACAAACUUUAUUUCUAACACAUGUUUUCCCCCAAAUCAGUCCGUCAAAUGAUCUCGUUACCCUCAGAGAUGCAACAUUUAGCAUGUAGGGAUGCUUUAGAGGUGAGUCUCCUAUAAAGGACCGAGUGGGCCCCGCUAGGUCUUUAACAUGAUGCAUAUAAGCAUGACCUAAAGGCUGACCUACACUGGGAUUGACUAACAGGGCUGUUCGGGGGAACAUAUGGUCGAUAGUGGCUGCUUUGCUUUUCACCUACUCCAUACAACCGACGGCUCCCCCUCCUAAAAUAAGGGUUACUCAACUAGAGGUCGUGUACAACACAUGUACUACGGACUUGUUGCAAAAAAAAAUGACUCGGGUUAUGCACAUGAUGCCAGAUAUAAUGCGGUAAUACACAAGAGAAAAAUUAUAAACAGGUAGCACGUAAGCACUCAACAAUGAUAAAAUAAACAACAAACGAUAACACAAACAAUAUUUAUACACCUAUAAUGCCAAACUAAGCCGAUAUAACUCCAAAAUAAGCUCGAAUUCUAAAAAAAUCUCUCCAACAGAGUCGCCAGAGCUGUCACACCCCUUUUUAACUCCAAAAAGAUUAUUUUUUAAGGUUCAAAAGAGUUUUUAUUAUUAAAGUGACAAAAUAAAAAUUUGUUUCGAAAAGGACUUUUAUAUUCAAAACUCAGAGUCGUCACUUGGCAUAAUCGGGUGUGUCAAAUCACCUUGGGAAAUUCUUUUUUCAAAAUCAUUUUUGAAUCUUCUAAACUAAUCGGUGAAUAGACAUUUCGGCUAAGGAAUUCUGUUGACCGAGGGGAAGGUGUUAGGCAUCCCUCGAUCCGGUGGUUUGACCGCAGUUGCUUGGUGGAGUGUAUCGGCUAUUUUGGCAUUAUGAAUAUAUAAACCACACGAAAUCACACAAAACAAUAAAUCAAACAAACAAACAAAACAAAUCCAAAGUUAUAGUGUCUAGUCCGAUUAUUACAACUCCGAAAUAGAAAAAUGCGAAAAUAUAAACUUACGUUAUUCUAUGCUAAUUCUAAACUACACUCCAUUGCUUUCUCCACCCGACGUUUCGGGCCUUGAUCAUGCAUCGUCUUCAAGUAAAUGGUACUUCGGGACAUUCUUCGGAUAAAUCAAUACAAAUUCCUCAGGGCAUUCCCCGGUCAAAUAAAUACAAUAGAUCCCAAUGCAUAUAUCAAAACUGUUUCACACACAUUUCAUCAUUCAACAAUCACAAAUCCUAAACUUUGUCUACCCAACAUACGUUUUCCUAUUACUUCCGACUUAUCAUGCUAUUACCAAAUUAAACCAAAAUUAAUCUAAAUUCACUAUUUUAUCAAUUUCUCAAUUCCGCCCCAACUUCUCUUUUAACACUAAAUUUCCACAAUUCACGAUUUCCAUUUCAACGAUCCACAACUACUCUUCAACGAAAUUAAGUAACAGUCAAUAUCAAAGUAGCAAUUCCUCACCAAUCAUGAUCAAACAACACACGAGAUUCUAUCUAAUGCACCAUAUUUCAUCAAUAAUGAAAUAAAAAGAAGAAAAAGGUUGAAAUGAACCUCAAUGAUGAUUUUAUUUCAAUUAUCAGUCAAUCGAGAAGAUGAAUCCGAAUGCCGAAGAAUUCGAAUCAGAAAACCUCAAUGAUGAGCCCAAAUCCAAAUCAAUAUCAGAAAUCAAAGCCCGAAGCUGAACAAGAAUGACCGAUUCAAAAUCGCAACAAAAUUCGAAAUCCAACUCUUAUUGAAACCAGUUUCUGAAUCCAAAUUCCCAAUCAAUUUUGAGUCUAAAACAGUGUUGACUUCGGUGAGGAGGUGCUGUUUUUUGACUGGUUUGGUGAUAAGAGGGAGCUGGGUCGCUGCUAGCACUUUGUCGGAGCUCCAGCGAGCUCGGCGCAGGAGGAACUCGAAGGAUACAGAUAAAUUUCUAGGCCCGUUGACCCUUUUCUCUCCCUCUCUCCCCAUUUCUCUCCCUUUUCUCUAUCUCUCUGUCUGUUUCUCUCUUCUCUCAAUGCUCUAUCUCUCUCGACCUCUCUUACUGUGUGUUUUUGGAGAUGGUUGUGCGCGUGCAUAUCAGUGAGGAUGUGUGUACGAUUUGAGCUUGAGAAGAAAAAAACUAAAGCUAGGAAAAAUGGAGUCCGUGGAAAAAUGGAGUCCGUGCUUUCUUUUUUUUUGUAUCCUCCUGGUAUGUGUUGCGAUUUAUGCCUAUGGUGAGGAUUAGUGUGUGUGCCUAUUGUGAGGGAGUCUUGUGUUACUGUAUAAGUUUGUCCUCAAUGGAGAAGAAAAAUGGAAUCUUUCCCCUGUGAGCCCCCGUAUGUGUUAUCUGUGUGUUGAUGGUUUUGUGUAUGUGAGGUGUGUAUAAUUCUGUGUCCAGUGAAGAUGCUCCCUCCAUUGAACCAAUAAGAGAAUGGAAUAUAUUGGGAAAAAUGGAGUGGUCCCUUAUGUAGAGAAUCAUGGAUGUCGCUAUUGUUUCCCUGUGGUCCCCUCUUUAUUUGUGUAUUGCAAUAUGUGGAAUACAGUGGACACUGCG
rnacentral:lncRNA from 1 species